UACGGGGGGAGCAAGCGUUGUUCGGAUUUACUGGGCGUAAAGGGCGCGUAGGCGGUCGUGACAAGUCACUUGUGAAAUCUCCGGGCUUAACUCGGAACGGUCAAGUGAUACUGUCGGACUAGAGUACAGAAGGGGCAACUGGAAUUCUCGGUGUAGCGGUGAAAUGCGUAGAUAUCGAGAGGGACACCUGCGGCGAAGGCGGGUUGCUGGGCUGAUACUGACGCUGAGGCGCGAAAGCCAGGGGAGCGAACGGG
rnacentral:rRNA from 1 species